GCCUGACUGGCUCAGCUGGUAGAGCACGUGACUCUUGAUCUUGGGGUCAUGAGUUCAAGCCCCAUGUUGGGUG
rnacentral:tRNA from 1 species